CGUUAUCUCGGCCGUGCGGCCACCCGCGCCUCCAGGCCGUGCGCGACCGACCGGAACGCGGCGAGCUCCGAGCUCCCGACGGCCAGGCCCGAGCUGCGCCGGACUGGGCCGGGGUGGGCUCGCAGGGACGAGGUUCGGGGACGGGACCCAGUUCCGUGGCGGGCUGCUUUCCUUCCUCAGAGGCCGCGAGGUCAUGGCGGCGGCUCGAGUUCCCUGCUUCCAGUGUGGGUUGGUCAGUUCCUCCACAGCGCUUUUAAACGCCGUGAGACGGUCCCACUCUGCCAGCUGCUCUGUGGCAAGCUGCCCAGCGUUUCACCCGUGUGUUCCCUGCCGCCCGCGCUCGGCGCGGCCUCGACUCAGCCUCCCCGAGGAGGUCCCCUCGGACCGUCGUGGCCCUGGCGUUUGCCAUGCGAGGACAUCGCGUUGCGCUCCUGAGCCGAAACCUGUGCGCGCUCGGCGGCUGAGGCCUUUGGUGCCGCAGGAGGCAGAAACCGGAGCCCCGUGCCCGGCCCCGCAGGGACCGGAAAGGCGAGCAGCCUGCGCUGCCCUCUCCGCCCGCUCGGAACCAGGGUCCCUAGGGUUCGGUCGCUCAGGUUCUGCCCUGAACCAGGCACAGGUCCAUCGGAUCAUUUCCACUUACGAAGUAAACGAUUUGGUUUUUUAAAACUUCAUUUUAAACAUUAGGUAUUUUAAAUCAUCACAAAAUGAAGUUGGAAGACUAAGUUACUGGAGUCAACUUAGAUAACUUGAUACAUUACAUAUUAUCAAUGACAUUUUAAAAACAAAACUGAUUUUUGACUUCGGAAAACCAAGUAAUAAUUGUCAUUUCUAGUUAGAGACUGAAGCAAAUUGUGAAAAAUCAUGUAAAUACCUAGGCUACUUUCUCAAACUACUGUUGUUUUUCUCUUUUUUAAAGACUGCUAAAAAUCGUGAGAUUUGGAAGUAGAAGAUGUUCAGGUUAUGUUUUCAGAAAGAUGCUUGUCAAUCACAGUCAACAAGCUGUGGGUUUCCUGAAUGGAAGUAAAAGCCGCGCAGAGUUAAAAGUCGUCCCAUGUCUUGGGACUGUGCUUCUGGUGGCAGUGCCUCCCCUCUGUGGAUGAAACAUGCCGCGUUGGAUGCAUUCCCGUGAAGCAGGCAUUGUCUCUGCUCCCCGGAGGAUCCUAGCUCUCUGAAAGAGCUCUUUCAGGAAACACCUAGGUUCAACUUCAUGCAGCAGGAGCUCCAGUUGGAUUCACUUGGUACUUCAGUAUGCUGGAAACGAGAAAGCUUCAUUUAUAAUGUAAAGGUACCUAAGAGCCAUCUGACACUUCUAUUCAUGUCAGUAAGAAUGGUUUCUGUCCACACGGGCGUAGAGUCUGCCCGACAGGAUACACUGAUGAUGUCCAUUUCAACAUUAGCAUACGUGGACAUUUGCAGCACUUCCUGUUUUCUUAAUUUUUAACUUUCAAUUUUAAACUUUUAUUAACAAAAGGGGAACUGUACUGGAAUGGAUGGAGCCAAAUGUACCACUGUGUGCAGCUUUGGUAAAGGAAUUUAAAGGAGGUAAAAUAUGUGCGCUUCAUUGUCUCGGUGGCAGAAAGAAGUGAGUCAGGACCUGGUACAAGGAUGUUGCAAGCCCUUCAUUUACUGACUUCUUGCCUCUGUCAGCUGCGGCUCAAAGCACUUCCUGUGUUGACUGAUUUGGCCUGGUGACAGUGGUGUGGGGCAGGUGCUGUGCAGCUGAGAAAAUAGGAGGUUAAGCACUUCCCCAAACUCACCAAGACAGCCUGUUCUCCACACCCCACACCAUCUAGCACCAGACUUCCCAGGGCAGGCAUGAAACAUGUGGGGACCUGCUCAGUGCACCCCAGACCUGCAGAGCCUGAACCUCUGAGCCAGUCCAGCCUGAGUUUUACUAAAGCCACUCAGACUAGAGUUUGAGAAUCCCUGGCAAAAAGGAAGGUGGUGGCAAUGUUAACGAUCUCUUUUCAUGGAUUUUCAUUCUAGAACAAAUGCUGGGAAGUUGCUCUAACAUACAGUAUGUGUGUUCCCAAAGGUGAAGGCUCCAGAUGUGGCGGCCAAGCUGAAGAGACCAUCAGAGAGGCUGAAGGAGAAGCAGGAUGAACAGCAGAAUUACCAGGUUCUGACUCUGACGGUGGCCAGUCUGUGUCUCUUCUUCAUGGUGCUUGCCACACAACCCUCCUGACUGGCAGCAUGAGACCCACGUGGAACACAGCAGAGUGCGGAGUUACGCUGUUCACAGCACGGGUACCAUGCAGACCCUGUGUGCAAGGCUAGUUCCCAGCCAGGCGCUGCUGGGAGGUGGUGGCACCUUUGAGGGUGAGGCCGAGCAGGACAUUAGGUCAUGAAGGACACAUCCUUGAAGGGAGCUCUCAGACCACAGUCUCCUCAUCCUCUUUUUCACAUCCGGCCCUGAGGUGAGAGGCUUUGGUGGACCACACACUCCCACUUCGGUGCGCUGCCUCAGCCUAGGAAACUGCAGGGCAGACAACCACACCUGAAUCUCCAACAUGUGAGUCAGAAGAAACUACUUCUGCAGGGGAAGGGGGAGUUGGGGCGCAGGGCAAAGGAGAGAAGGGGAUGGAAUUCAUAUGAGAAAAUGGAACAGUGGAAACAAAG